rnacentral:rRNA from 1 species
CAAUAGCGUAUAUUUAAGUUGUUGCAGUUAAAAAGCUCGUAGUUGGAUUUCGGAUGGGAUUUGCCGGUCCGUCGUUACGAUGUGCACUGGCCAGUCCUAUCUUGUUGUCGGGGACUAGCUCCUUGGAUUCACUUCCUGGGACUAGGAGCUGACGAGGUUACUUUGAGUAAAUUAGAGUGUUCAAAGCAAGCCUACGCUCUGAAUACAUUAGCAUGGAAUAACACGAUAGGACUCUGGCUUAUCUUGUUGGUCUGUGAGACCAGAGUAAUGAUUAAGAGGGACAGUCGGGGACAUUCGUAUUUCAUUGUCAGAGGUGAAAUUCUUGGAUUUAUGAAAGACGAACUUCUGCGAAAGCAUUUGUCAAGGAUGUUUNCAUUGA